rnacentral:rRNA from 1 species
GACGAACGCUGGCGGCGUGCCUAAUACAUGCAAGUAGAACGCAGUUGCGAAUGGGUGAGUAACGCGUAGCUAACUGCCUGGUAGCGGGGGAUAACUAUUUGAAACGAUAGCUAAUACCGCAUACUACCAGAUGGACCUGCGUUGUAUUAGGUAGUUGGUGAGGUAACGGCUCACCAAGGCAACGAUACAUUGCCGGACUGGGAGGGGGGUCGGGCAAAAGUGGAAUGGGGCACGGCUCAAGCCUCUAAGGGAGGCAACAGUAGGGAAUCAUCGGCAAUGGGGGGAACGCCGACCGAACAACGCCGGGUGGGAUGAGAAGGUUUUCGGAGCGUAAAGCUCUGUUGUGAGGGGAGCGGUACUUAACCAGAAAGGGACGGCUAACUACGUGCCAGCAGCCGCGGUAAUAC